rnacentral:sRNA from 1 species
ACAUUCUCCGGGUCCUUCUCAAGAAUGAACUGGAGCUGGCGGAGACCAAAUGCGCCUUGCAGGAGGAGAAGCUGCAGCAGGGCGCGCUGCAGACAGCGGAGGCCUGGGCCAUAUUCCAGGAGCAGACCGUAGUCCUGCAGGUGCGGCCCCACUCAGACGCCAAGGUGCCUCUCGCCUCUCCUUCCCCAGACCUGGGGCGGUGUGACGGGCAGCUUCGCGGAGUGCAGUACAGCACCCAGUCGCUCAUGGAGGAGAUGGCCAGGGCGGACCGAGAGAUGCGGCUGUUCGGCGGCCCUGGCGCGCUGGCCAUCAGGUAAGCCAAGCGGUGGGCGCGGCUGCGGUCCCCCAGGUGCCCGCCCGAGCCGCUGCCCACCUGCCCGCCUUUCGCCCAGCAGGCGGUGCGUGCUGGGCGCGCUGCAGGUGCUGCUGACGCUGCCGCUCCUCUUCCUGGGGCUGUCGCUACUCUGGACGGUGCUGUUGGACCCCGGCGCCGUCU